UGGGGAAUAUUGGACAAUGGGGGCAACCCUGAUCCAGCAAUGCCGCGUGAGUGAUGAAGGCCUUCGGGUUGUAAAGCUCUUUUGGCGGGGACGAUGAUGACGGUACCCGCAGAAUAAGCCCCGGCUAACUUCGUGCCAGCAGCCGCGGUAAUACGAAGGGGGCUAGCGUUGUUCGGAAUUACUGGGCGUAAAGGGCGCGUAGGCGGCUCUGAUCGUCGGAUGUGAAAGGCCUGGGCUCAACCUGGGAACUGCAUCCGAUACGGCGGGGCUGGAGUGUGGGAGAGGUUGGUGGAAUUCCCAGUGUAGAGGUGAAAAUUCGUAGAUAUUGGGAAGAACACCGGUGGCGAAGGCGGCCAACUGGACCACAACUGACGCUGAGGCGCGAAAGCGUGGGGAGCAAACAGGAUUAGAUACC
rnacentral:rRNA from 1 species